ensembl:lncRNA
UGCUUAUACACAGCAGGCAAGACACACAGAACUACAAGUCCCGAAGCUAGCUUGUUUUUAUGGAUUUGUGCACCUUAUCUGAAUAUCUGCAAAGUAUGAAAAUUAUUAGUUGUGAAUUUUUGAUCAUCCAUUAAAGGCAAACUGUGAUAUUGAUUACAUUAAAGUAAAAUUACUUGUGCUCACUUGUAAGUUAGCUUGCUUUUCUAUGGGAAACAAUGUGCUUUCAAAAUAAUCCAAAAUGGUAAGCACUUUUAUGGUGCAAUACCAAUAAAACAGAAUAAUUAGCUACAAAAAUGCUAUCCAGAACUAAAACAUACUUCCACACUGAGAGGUGAUCAUAGUUUGUAGGAAACAACUGUGCUUGUAAACAGCGUUAGCAGUGUAACAAACAACCAAGAAAGAAUCACCUUAUAACUUCAGCUGAAUCCUUAGGGUCAUGCAGCUCAAUUAGGCUGGAGCUGACCCAAAGGUGGAAUGCUUCUCAACACCCCACUCCUCCUAAUUGUAAUGUUUCCCAUUUUCUUCUGCAAGUAAUACUUUAUAGUGUAAAUACCUCACUGGUGGUGUCACCUAUGACAUUUUGGCCUUUUCAUUCUUCCCAUACUUUCCUCCAGAAACCAGCCAGGAUUCUUGCUGUUGAUGUUUCAAUGCUGUCUCCCCAGUUGCCUGUAGGAGAGUUUGUUGGGUCAGAUAUCCAAACCGGAUCCGUGCAUGUGUAUCGUAUUCACCUGGCCUAAAAGGCCUCCCAUAAUCCUGCCUGCUGGGGAUCAUUUCCACAUGAAGGCGCCUACAGCUGGCCUGAAGCCCAGCUGGGUUUGAGCUGCUCCUGAGAGGAAGCAAUGUGGUGUGACUGCAGCAUGCUGUCUGUCACUGCUGGUUCUGGGAACACAGAGAGGGAAAACUUCAGCUGUUUUUUCACAGAGGCCACUUUGGUUUGAUAGAAUUUAUGAUGUCUGGCUCUGCAGGAAGGUGCAUGCAUUGUUCCCAAGGCAGGCACAGUCUUGCAAGAAAUGUUUGUACAGUCAUGGGCUUCAGCUAAUACCUAUACUGGAGGCAGGGCAGUUGGUUUUACAUUUGUGGCACAGAUAAUCUGCAAUGAAGAUAACCUAAUCAUAGAUAAUUGAGAAUUGGCUCAAUGGGUGUUACAAUCCUGCUCUCAGUUUUGAUCUUGCACAGGCUGUUUUUUGCUGCUGUCCAGGCACUACUAUCAGCAUGAGGUAUUCCUGCUUCCCUGCUCCUGUUCCCUCUUCUGCCUGUGGUAUGCCAGCCAUUUAGUUGUGCUAGCAACUGAAUGUGCUAGUGAUUAUCACAAUCAAUAAUUCUUUUUUGACUCCAGUCAGUUCCUUAACUUAGUGCUGGCAACUUUUUCAUGAACCUUAGUUAAGAAGCCCUGCGGGUAAUGUUGUUGGCACAGCUGAGGGGCACAGGGGUAUUAAGAAGGUUUCAAGCUACUACUGCCUUUUUUAUCAUGAAACAGCAGCCACAGUUCAACUAUAUUUCUGUAAUUCACUAAUUUUAUUAACUAUACCAUUGUAAAUUAGGAGUAAUCUCAAAACAAUGCUUUCAUGAUCAUCAAACAUGUUUUGAGAAGGUGAAAUAAUAAAAAAAAAAAAUUAUGGUAAAAUUAUGGUAGGUAGUUGGAGAUUUGAGAGAAGGCUUUUUCUCCCUUGCAAAUAAAAUAAUUUAGGAAUGCCGGCAAUAAAUAUAAUUAUCUUCAGUUUAGUACUGAACCACCACUUAGAAAACUGCAGGGUUACAGAAUUAAAAAUCACACACAGUACUCUGAAAAACUCAAUUGCUUCACUGAGCUAUAUAGCACUGGACACUUCAUGGCUUGUUGGGAACGAGAAGCAAUAGAGCCUGGGAUUUGCCAGCCAUCUUUGUCAUCAACU